UACGUAGGGCGCAAGCGUUAUCCGGAAUUAUUGGGCGUAAAGAGCUCGUAGGCGGUUUGUCGCGUCUGCCGUGAAAGUCCGGGGCUCAACUCCGGAUCUGCGGUGGGUACGGGCAGACUAGAGUGAUGUAGGGGGAGACUGGAAUUCCUGGUGUAGCGGUGAAAUGCGCAGAUAUCAGGAGGAACACCGAUGGCGAAGGCAGGUCUCUGGGCCGAUACUGACGCUGAGGAGCGAAAGCGUGGGGGAGCGAACAGG
rnacentral:rRNA from 1 species